GCAGCCUGAUGCAGCCAUGCCGCGUGUAUGAAGAAGGCCUUCGGGUUGUAAAGUACUUUCAGUCGUGAGGAAGGCGUUGUCGUUAAUAGCGGCAUCGUUUGACGUUAGCGACAGAAGAAGCACCGGCUAACUCCGUGCCAGCAGCCGCGGUAAUACGGAGGGUGCGAGCGUUAAUCGGAAUUACUGGGCGUAAAGCGCAUGCAGGUGGUUUGUUAAGUCAGAUGUGAAAGCCCGGGGCUCAACCUCGGAAUAGCAUUUGAAACUGGCAGACUAGAGUACUGUAGAGGGGGGUAGAAUUUCAGGUGUAGCGGUGAAAUGCGUAGAGAUCUGAAGGAAUACCGGUGGCGAAGGCGGCCCCCUGGACAGAUACUGACACUCAGAUGCGAAAGCGUGGGGAGCAAACAGGAUUAGAUACCCUGGUAGUCCACGCCGUAAACGAUGUCUACUUGGAGGUUGUGGCCUUGAGCCGUGGCUUUCGGAGCUAACGCGUUAAGUAGACCGCCUGGGGAGUACGGUCGCAAGAUUAAAACUUAAAGAAAAUUGACGGA
rnacentral:rRNA from 1 species